UUACACAGUAACAUGCUGUAAUAUUUUAAAGAAUGGCUGUACAUCUACAGCAAAGAGCUGUUUUCAAAACUUAAUACAGUAAUAUAUCAAAAAUACAGUAACAUACUGUAAACUAGUUAAGAUACAGUAACAUACUGUACAAGCAAGGCAUUCUGGGAUUGGUUUGAACGAGGAAGUAAGAGCGGUGCAAGCUGAGCAGAGGUUUUAGUUCAGAAAACCACAUUAAAACUUUUAGAACUUCUCUUACGUCCUGUUAAUUAUGUUAUAGCUUAUAAUUAUUUAUCUUUUUAUCACUCCGCCUAUUCAGUUCAUUUAUUUUUAAUAUUAUUCGUUUUGCACUUUCCAUUGUUGAGUGAGAUCGGGAACAGAGUGUGAGGCGGGAGAAUUGAAAGUUCCAGAAACAAUUCAUUACCGUUUUGACUUGAAUGAUGUCUGAGUUACAAAAAGAGAUUAAGCAAACCUUACUGUGAGUAAUACCAGGCCUUCCUGACGAGCCACUCAAUCAGUCAGUUGAGAAAUGUGUAGGCUGAGGAGUAGAAGAUUUAAUGUACGUGAAAGAAGAGGACUUCUUAAGAGUUCAUACAACCUGUCCAGUGCCAAACUGUUCACAUGAACAAAGAAGCAGCAUUUUGGUUCAGUAAUUAGUUUGACCUAUAGGUCUCCUCAAAAUUCACCACAAAUGAGCUCCUCAGGCUCCUCAGUAAGAAAAUGGAUGGACUCACGCUUCAAGCAGAUGAACACUCAACUUGCCUGACAGUCCUUGCAUUAUAAUUCUUGGUCAAACUCUAAGCAACCAGCAGAGGAUGGUGAGCAUUGAAGGUCACGUUGUAUGUGAGGGAACACAACUCAGCUUUGUCUGUGGCCGUACUGCUGUGUUUGCUUCAUGUGUGGACACUUUUUCUUUGGUGUUGUUUCUUGUGACUGAAGACAGAGAAAGCAAAAUUAAAGUUAGAAAUAUUCUUUAUUCAUACACACCAGGCAAAGGUUAAAUGACAGAGAAACACAGCCCUAGGACACUGCCCUUCAUUUGCACCGAGGGGCCCGUGUCCCCCAUUCGUGUAGGGCUUUAAGACUUUAGUUACAUAAACAUUAUCAAAUAAUCUAAGGGUGGAGGACAUCUGUUGGGGCCUGAUAAGUCCACACCCGUUAGACGCCCAAGAAGCAGCACUUGUUUUUGUACACUGUAAACAUGCAGGGUCUGCAGGACUCCUACCACACACCCCAUAGAACAUGCUUUCUGUCACAUACAUCAGAUUUGUCAAGCACAAGUUAUUGACUGGUAUUUUUUAUUUUUCCACACAUGUUAUAAUUUCAACCUCCAAUAUAGGAAGAGACUGCAAGCACCCUCGAUUUUGUUCAAAGACGAUUUAUUGACAUCAACCCUGAACAAAUGUCCAAGGCCAAUUAAGGAAAAGCUACAUCCAAGAAGACUAGCCAAGUAGUCCAUAACAAGAAGGACGCAGUAAACCCUCAUUUUUCUUAUCCACUUUGUAAGAUAAUGGACUUUGAACGGAAUUCAUCCAAGACCACUUUGUUCACUUUUAAUUUUGACAGUUUAGGCAAUUUUUGUCUAACAUGGUGUUCUUAUUCUAUUUUAAUGUGAAAGUCAACAUUGGUGCUGCUUUUAAAUUUAGUACUCAAUGCUGCACUAUGUUUCUUGCCAGUGUUUCCCACCUCUGUUGCAACCAUUUGUGUUUAUCUGAAAUAAUGAAAGACUAACAAUUAAAAAAACUGGUAAUGUAAAAAGCUAAUCAAGACCAUAAAAAUAACUGUUUAUUGGAAUGUUUCAAAUGAAAGAAGCAUUAUUUGUUUAAAUUAAUCUGUAAGUAAAUAUUGCAGAAUAAUGUCCUUAUCAAUGCUGCAGUGACACUAUAAAAUGGUAUUCACAGCAU